rnacentral:rRNA from 1 species
CGAAGGGUGCAAGCGUUGUUCGGAAUUACUGGGCGUAAAGCGCGCGUAGGCGGGUUUGUAAGUCGAUUGUGAAAUCCCUGGGCUUAACCUGGGAACUGCAGUCGAAACUGCAAAUCUUGAAUGUCUGAGAGGAUGGCGGAAUAACCGGUGUAGUAGUGAAAUACGUAGAUAUCGGUUAGAACACCUGAGGCGAAGGCGGCUAUCUGGCGGCACAUUGACGCUGAGGCGCGAAAGCGUGGGGAGCAAACAGGAUUAGAUACCCUGGUAGUCCACGCCGUAAACGAUGAUUACUGGGUGUCCGGGAUGUUAACCUCCUGGGUACCGGAGCUCACGCAUUAAGUAAUCCGCCUGGGGAGUACGGUCGCAAGACUA